UCUUUCUUUGCUGGCGACCGGCGCACGGGUGAGUAACACGUAUCCAACCUGCCCUUUACUCGGGGAUAGCCUUUCGAAGGAAAGAUUAAUACCCGAUAGCAUAAUGAUUCCGCAUGGUUUCAUUAUUAAAGGAUUCCGGUAAAGGAUGGGGAUGCGUUCCAUUAGGUUGUUGGUGAGGUAACGGCCCACCAAGCCUUCGAUGGAUAGGGGUUCUGAGAGGAAGGUCCCCCACAUUGGAACUGAGACACGGUCCAA
rnacentral:rRNA from 1 species